rnacentral:snRNA from 1 species
CGGGAUUUUACCAGAUUGU